GUAGGUGGGCAAGCGUUGUCCGGAAUUAUUGGGGCGUAAAGCGCGCGCAGGCGGUCCUUUAAGUCUGAUGUGAAAGCCCACGGCUCAACCGUGGAGGGUCAUUGGAAACUGGGGGACUUGAGUACAGAAGAGGAAAGCGGAAUUCCAAGUGUAGCGGUGAAAUGCGUAGAGAUUUGGAGGAACACCAGUGGCGAAGGCGGCUUUCUGGUCUGUAACUGACGCUGAGGCGCGAAAGCGUGGGGAGCAAACAGGAUUAGGUACCCUGGUAGUCCACGCCGUAAACGAUGAGUGCUAAGUGUUAGGGGGUUUCCGCCCCUUAGUGCUGCAGCUAACGCAUUAAGCACUCCGCCUGGGGAGUACGGCCGCAAAGGCUA
rnacentral:rRNA from 1 species